rnacentral:rRNA from 1 species
UACGAAGGGUGCAAGCGUUAAUCGGAAUUACUGGGUGUAAAGCGUGCGUAGGCGGUGACUUAAGUCUGUUGUGAAAUCCCCGGGCUCAACCUGGGAAUGGCAAUGGAUACUGGGUCGCUAGAGUGUGAUAGAGGAUGGUGGAAUUCCCGGUGUAGCGGUGAAAUGCGUAGAGAUCGGGAGGAACAUCAGUGGCGAAGGCGGCCAUCUGGAUCAACACUGACGCUGAGGCACGAAAGCGUGGGGAGCAAACAGG